AUUGAACGCUGGCGGCAUGCUUUACACAUGCAAGUCGAACGGUAACAGGUUAAGCUGACGAGUGGCGAACGGGUGAGUAAUGCAUCGGAACGUGCCCGAUCGUGGGGGAUAACGCAGCGAAAGCUGCGCUAAUACCGCAUACGAACUGAGGAUGAAAGCGGGGGACCGUAAGGCCUCGCGCGAUCGGAGCGGCCGAUGUCAGAUUAGGUAGUUGGUGGGGUAAAGGCUCACCAAGCCGGCGAUCUGUAGCUGGUCUGAGAGGACGACCAGCCACACUGGGACUGAGACACGGCCCAGACUCCUACGGGAGGCAGCAGUGGGGAAUUUUGGACAAUGGGCGCAAGCCUGAUCCAGCAAUGCCGCGUGCAGGAAGAAGGCCUUCGGGUUGUAAACUGCUUUUGUACGGAGCGAAAAGGCUCUCUCUAAUACAGGGGGCUCAUGACGGUACCGUAAGAAUAAGCACCGGCUAACUACGUGCCAGCAGCCGCCGUAA
rnacentral:rRNA from 1 species